rnacentral:snRNA from 1 species
AUCUUUGCACAGUGGCAGUAUCAUAGCCUGUGAGGUUGAACUAAGGCAUGAUCAUUGCUGGUUGUAAACUUGGGCACUUUAGCAUGCACCCAAUGGUCUGUGGGCAACCAAAAUACCUAGUGAAGCCAGUAGGGAAUCUGGUUGAGAAGGGAACUUG